AGACCCGAAACCCGGUGAUCUAGCCAUGGGCAGGUUGAAGGUUGGGUAACACUAACUGGAGGACCGAACCGACUAAUGUUGAAAAAUUAGCGGAUGACCUGUGGCUGGGGGUGAAAGGCCAAUCAAACCGGGAGAUAGCUGGUUCUCCCCGAAAGCUAUUUAGGUAGCGCCUCGUGAAUUCAUCUCCGGGGGUAGAGCACUGUUUCGGCUAGGGGGCCAUCCCGGCUUACCAACCCGAUGCAAACUGCGAAUACCGGAGAAUGUUAUCACGGGAGACACACGGCGGGUGCUAACGUCCGUCGUGAAGAGGGAAACAACCCAGACCGCCAGCUAAGGUCCCAAAGUCAUGGUUAAGUGGGAAACGAUGUGGGAAGGCCCAGACAGCCAGGAUGUUGGCUUAGAAGCAGCCAUCAUUUAAAGAAAGCGUAAUAGCUCACUGGUCGAGUCGGCCUGCGCGGAAGAUGUAACGGGGCUAAACCAUGCACCGAAGCUGCGGCAGCGACACUGUGUGUUGUUGGGUAGGGGAGCGUUCUGUAAGCCUGUGAAGGUGUGUCGUGAGGCAUGCUGGAGGUAUCAGAAGUGCGAAUGCUGACAUAAGUAACGAUAAAGCGGGUGAAAAGCCCGCUCGCCGGAAGACCAAGGGUUCCUGUCCAACGUUAAUCGGGGCAGGGUGAGUCGACCCCUAAGGCGAGGCCGAAAGGCGUAGUCGAUGGGAAACGGGUUAAUAUUCCCGUACUUGGUGUUACUGCGAAGGGGGGACGGAGAAGGCUAUGUUGGCCGGGCGACGGUUGUCCCGGUUUAAGCGUGUAGGUGUGUGUUCCAGGUAAAUCCGGUUCACUUUAACACUGAGGCGUGACGACGAGGCACUACGGUGCUGAAGCAACAAAUGCCCUGCUUCCAGGAAAAGCCUCUAAGCAUCAGGUAACAUCAAAUCGUACCCCAAACCGACACAGGUGGUCAGGUAGAGAAUACCAAGGCGCUUGAGAGAACUCGGGUGAAGGAACUAGGCAAAAUGGUGCCGUAACUUCGGGAGAAGGCACGCUGACACGUAGGUGAAGUGAUUUACUCAUGGAGCUGAAGUCAGUCGAAGAUACCAGCUGGCUGCAACUGUUUAUUAAAAACACAGCACUGUGCAAACACGAAAGUGGACGUAUACGGUGUGACGCCUGCCCGGUGCCGGAAGGUUAAUUGAUGGGGUCAGCGCAAGCGAAGCUCCUGAUCGAAGCCCCGGUAAACGGCGGCCGUAACUAUAACGGUCCUAAGGUAGCGAAAUUCCUUGUCGGGUAAGUUCCGACCUGCACGAAUGGCGUAAUGAUGGCCAGGCUGUCUCCACCCGAGACUCAGUGAAAUUGAACUCGCUGUGAAGAUGCAGUGUACCCGCGGCAAGACGGAAAGACCCCGUGAACCUUUACUAUAGCUUGACACUGAACAUUGAGCCUUGAUGUGUAGGAUAGGUGGGAGGCUUUGAAGUGUGGACGCCAGUCUGCAUGGAGCCGACCUUGAAAUACCACCCUUUAAUGUUUGAUGUUCUAACGUGGACCCGUUACCCGGGUUGCGGACAGUGUCUGGUGGGUAGUUUGACUGGGGCGGUCUCCUCCUAAAGAGUAACGGAGGAGCACGAAGGUUGGCUAAUCCUGGUCGGACAUCAGGAGGUUAGUGCAAUGGCAUAAGCCAGCUUGACUGCGAGCGUGACGGCGCGAGCAGGUGCGAAAGCAGGUCAUAGUGAUCCGGUGGUUCUGAAUGGAAGGGCCAUCGCUCAACGGAUAAAAGGUACUCCGGGGAUAACAGGCUGAUACCGCCCAAGAGUUCAUAUCGACGGCGGUGUUUGGCACCUCGAUGUCGGCUCAUCACAUCCUGGGGCUGAAGUAGGUCCCAAGGGUAUGGCUGUUCGCCAUUUAAAGUGGUACGCGAGCUGGGUUUAGAACGUCGUGAGACAGUUCGGUCCCUAUCUGCCGUGGGCGCUGGAGAACUGAGGGGGGCUGCUCCUAGUACGAGAGGACCGGAGUGGACGCAUCACUGGUGUUCGGGUUGUCAUGCCAAUGGCACUGCCCGGUAGCUAAAUGCGGAAGAGAUAAGUGCUGAAAGCAUCUAAGCACGAAACUUGCCCCGAGAUGAGUUCU
rnacentral:rRNA from 1 species